rnacentral:rRNA from 1 species
GAUGAACGCUGGCGGCGUGCCUAAUACAUGCAAGUCGAGCGAACGGACGAGAAGCUUGCUUCUCUGAUGUUAGCGGCGGACGGGUGAGUAACACGUGGAUAACCUACCUAUAAGACUGGGAUAACUUCGGGAAACCGUAGCUAAUACCGGAUAAUAUUUUGAACCGCAUGGUUCAAAAGUGAAAGACGGUCUUGCUGUCACUUAUAGAUGGAUCCGCGCUGCAUUAGCUAGUUGGUAAGGUAACGGCUUACCAAGGCAACGAUGCAUAGCCGACCUGAGAGGGUGAUCGGCCACACUGGAACUGAGACACGGUCCAGACUCCUACGGGAGGCAGCAGUAGAGAAUCUUCCGCAAUGGGCGAAAGCCUGACGGAGCAACGCCGCGUGAGUGAUGAAGGUCUUCGGAUCGUAAAACUCUGUUAUUAGGGAAGAACAUAUGUGUAAGUAACUGUGCACAUCUUGACGGUACCUAAUCAGAAAGCCACGGCUAACUACGUG